GGGUCAGUAGGUUGGUCGUGCCACCGGUACGUACUGGUCUCACUGUUUCCUCCUUCCUGAAGAACCGUAAUGCCAUUAAUUUGGUGUUGCGGGGAAACAGGACUGUUACUUUGAAAAAAUUAGAGUGUUUAAAGCAAGCUAACGCUUGAAUACAUUAGCAUGGAAUAAUGAAAUAGGACGAUCGAUCCUAUUUUGUUGGUUUCCAGGAUUGACGUA
rnacentral:rRNA from 1 species